rnacentral:lncRNA from 1 species
UUUGGGUUCAGACUUUAUCUCUACCACUUAUUAAAAUAUAGAAGGAGAAGCUUUCACCUUUGCUGUCAGAUUGCCGAGUAAUUUAACCUAGAGUUAACGUCGAUAGCAUCAUUCUUGUCGUGCCCGCUUCGAAUGCUCGCUGGCGUGCAAGUGGCUCUUCUUUUAUUGCUCCCUUCUGGCAACGUCGAUAGCAUCAUUCUUGUCGUGCCCGCCUCGAAUACUCGCUGGCGUGCAUGUGGCUCUUCUUUUAUUGCUCCCUUCAGUCGUCUCCUGCACUAUAGACUUAUGGUGCUUCCAUGUUCCACGAAACCUCCCACUACCACCACGUCGUUGGCAAUGGAGCGGCCAUGAUGCAUUUUUCAAUCGCAUUAUCCUUCACAUACCCAUCCCACUGAGAACUUAUCUGCAGU